rnacentral:rRNA from 1 species
CCUUAGAGUUUGAUCCUGGCUCAGGAUGAACGCUGGCGGCGUGCCUAAUACAUGCAAGUCGAACGAAUCUUCUUCGGAAGAUGAGUGGCGAACGGGUGAGUAAUACAUAGGUAACCUGCCCCUGUGCGGGGGAUAACAGGAGGAAACUCCUGCUAAUACCGCAUAGCCAUGAGCACCGCAUGGAGCUCAUGCCAAAUAUCCUUCAGGGGAUAGCGCAGGGAUGGACCUAUGGCGCAUUAGCUAGUUGGCGGGGCAACGGCCCACCAAGGCAACGAUGCGUAGCCGGCCUGAGAGGGCGGACGGCCACAUUGGGACUGAGACACGGCCCAGACUCCUACGGGAGGCAGCAGUAGGGAAUUUUCGGCAAUGGGGGAAACCCUGACCGAGCAACGCCGCGUGAGCGAAGAAGGCCUUCGGGUCGUAAAGCUCUGUUGUAAAGGAAGAACGUCGCAUGCAGGAAAUGGUGUGCGAGUGACGGUACUUUACCAGAAAGCCACGGCUAACUACGUGCCAGCAGCCGCGGUAAUACGUAGGUGGCGAGCGUUAUCCGGAAUCAUUGGGCGUAAAGAGGGAGCAGGCGGCCGCAAGGGUCUGUGGUGAAAGACCGAAGCUAAACUUCGGUAAGCCAUGGAAACCGGGCGGCUAGAGUGCGGAAGAGGAUCGUGGAAUUCCAUGUGUAGCGGUGAAAUGCGUAGAUAUAUGGAGGAACACCAGUGGCGAAGGCGACGGUCUGGGCCGCAACUGACGCUCAUUCCCGAAAGCGUGGGGAGCAAAUAGGAUUAGAUACCCUAGUAGUCCACGCCGUAAACGAUGGUCACUAAGUGUCGGGGGUCAAACCCCGGUGCUGCAGUCAACGCAAUAAGUGACCCGCCUGAGUAGUACGUUCGCAAGAAUGAAACUCAAAGGAAUUGACGGAAGGGCGAAU